rnacentral:rRNA from 1 species
AACGAACGCUGGCGGCAGGCCUAACACAUGCAAGUCGAACGCUCCGCAAGGGGAGUGGCGCACGGGUGAGUAACACGUGGGAACCUACCUUCUGGUACGGAACAACCAAGGGAAACUUUGGCUAAGACCGUAUACGACCUCCGGGUGAAAGAUUGAUCGCCGGAAGAGGGGCCCGCGUCCGAUUAGGUAGUUGGUGAGGUAACGGCUCACCAAGCCUUCGAUCGGUAGCUGGUCUGAGAGGAUGACCAGCCACACUGGGACUGAGACACGGCCCAGACUCCACGGAGGCAGCAGUGGGGAAUAUUGGACAAUGGGCGCAAGCCUGAUCCAGCCACGCCGCGUGAGUGAUGAAGGCCUCGGUCGUAAG